UAGGGAAUUUUCGUCAAUGGGCGCAAGCCUGAACGAGCAAUGCCGCGUGAGUGAGGAAGGUCUUCGGACUGUAAAGCUCUGUUGCCGGGAAAAAGGGGAAAUGCAGGAAAUGGCAUUUCAUGGAUGGUACCCGGCCAGAAAGCCACGGCUAACUACGUGCCAGCAGCCGCGGUAAUACGUAGGUGGCGAGCGUUAUCCGGAAUGAUUGGGCGUAAAGGGUGCGCAGGCGGUCUGUUAAGUCUGAAGGCAAAGGGAUGAGCUCAACUCAUUUAUGAUUCAGAAACUGGCAGACUUGAGGACAGGAGAGGGCGGUGGAACUCCAUGUGUAGCGGUAAAAUGCGCAGAGAUAUGGAAGAACACCAGUGGCGAAGGCGGCCGCCUGGCCUGUGACUGACGCUGAGGCACGAAAGCGUGGGGAGCAAAGUAGGAUUAGAUACC
rnacentral:rRNA from 1 species